UACGGAAGGCAGCAGUGGGGAAUAUUGCACAAUGGGCGCAAGCCUGAUGCAGCCAUGCCGCGUGUAUGAAAAAGGCCUUCGGAUUGUAAAGUACUUUCAGUCGUGAGGAAGGUGUUAAGGUUAAUAACCUUAGCAAUUGACGUUAGCGACAGAAGAAGCACCGGCUAACUCCGUGCCAGCAGCCGCGGUAAUACGGAGGGUGCGAGCGUUAAUCGGAAUUACUGGGCGUAAAGGGCACGCAGGCGGUUAAUUAAGUUGGAUGUGAAAUCCCCGGGCUUAACCUGGGAAUGGCAUUCAAGACUGGUUAGCUAGAGUCUUGUAGAGGGGGUAGAAUUCCAUGUGUAGCGGUGAAAUGCGUAGAGAUGUGGAGGAAUACCGGUGGCGAAGGCGGCCCCUGGGACAAAGACUGACGCUCAUGUGCGAAAGCGUGGGGAGCAAACAGGGAUUAGAUACC
rnacentral:rRNA from 1 species